UUGCCAUUAGCCACGUCAUUAACGCCAUCAACCAGAAUCAAAGAUCCAAUUGUUGGCCACCCUAGCAAGCCAAGCCUAGAACCAGAUCUCCACCUCACCCCUAUUGCAUCGAUCGAAAGCUCGGACAAAAUGGAGACCUCCAUAUAACUCGCAACAUGAUCACACCUACGCACACUAGAAGUGGUCAGGCUCACCAAACAUUGGAAACACCGGUGCUAUACUCGACUUCAGGAGACGGUGCUGAGAUAUCUCAUUAACAUCACUAAUGAUGCAUGGGCAUCUACUCUGAAACCAAAGAGAAAUACCCAAGCUCCACCUUACCUCAAAGACUUUGUGCCCGAGUAAAAGAGGAGCAGAUCAUUUGGCUUUGUUGAGUUUGCUGCUAUUGAUGUGUGAUUGAUUUGCACAACUACAACAAGAUAACGGGUUGUAAUACAAGGACAAGGAGUUAAAAUUCCUUGCAUUUGAUAAUAUUAUCCAAAGAAUAUUGCAAGUCCUUGCGUUUGACUCUUAUCAUUUGCAAAGAAUGUAAGAAGUCCUUGUAUUUAAUCUUUUGAAAUCCAGAAAGUGAUAAAGUCGUUGUAUAUACUUUCAUAAUCGUUGCAUUGAAAAUCUAAAUGCAAGGACUUCAAGUGAAUUCCUUGCCCGACCCCUUACAAUUAUUGACUCCGCUCUCGGUGAGGUGAGUCUAUCACUUGGCUAUUGGAGGAAAAUAACAAAAUUCUCCUCUUACUCCGAAAAGAAGAAGACCCCAGAUCCACGAAUACCCCAACCUUUAGAUCUGCUUUCUUACUGUCGAUCUGGUACUACGCAUGAAUACCCACUCCCAAACUGAAGCUAAUUUCUCCAUUUCAAGCACCGUCGUCAUCCGGUCUCUUGCUCCUGCAAACUUUUAAGAUCUCUCUCAUGGGUUUAAAUUUUAUUCCACGAGAUUUUUAUGGGUUUAAUUUCUCAAUUAGGGUUUUAAUUUCACUUCUGGGUUUAAUUUCAGAAUAGCUGAUGGUGAAAAUCUUUCAUUCUUUUUUUUUUUUUUUUUGUAGCUUUAAACUGUACCAAUCUACUGAUUGAGUAAAACCCAUAUCAUCUCUCGGGUCAUUUCUGAGUCCUAUGACGAUUGAAGGUGUUGGGUUUCUUUUGUUUCAUUUAAGGCUAACUUCUUGAAACUAGUUUAAAAUGGUUGAUAGCAACGCAUCAUCUACAAAGAUGCUCCUUAAUUCCAGUAGCUAAGCUACAGUAAUGCUCAAUUCUAGUAGCUAAGGUACAAUUAAUCUAGGCCAACUUUAUACAAUAAGUUUUCGGCAUCCAUUAGGUGGAGUAUGCUAAAGAGUCAAUUCAUACAUCUACGAGAUUGAACUUUAUAAAUAUCCAAUUCAACUUGUAGGUACCUUUCAGGUGUCUUGCUUUUGAAACCAUCAUUCUGUAAUUCUGUACAUCAAUGGCAACAAUGGAGUGCGUUAGACUAUCUUAACAGGGGUUUUCUGUCUCUACUCUCUAGUGAUUCCCACCAUCUUGUAUAUCCAACUGUCUUACCUCACAAGGUAGGACAAUUUUGAGGUCUUAAACAAUCAAGAAGGAAGACUUAUUGUCUUGACUCUUGAAUGAAUUAUGGUAAUUGCUAGGAACUGAAAUCUAGGCUUUCUAUUAAUAUAAAUGAUGAUUGAUAAUUAUCUGAUUGAAGAAACUAAGUAAACCAUUCAUAUUACAAAUCUAGUCCAUGAGAAGUUACUACUUACAAGUACAAGUUAUAAGGGAGUGGGUUGAUUAGUUAAGGGACCGGUACUGUGUACUAAAGAUCUGGAAGUCAGCAGAAAAAAACAGUGGGUUGAUUAGUUAAGGGACUAUACUUUGGUACUGUAUACAUAAAAAAAAGAAGUCAGUAGAAUCCCUUUCAAAUGACUUGAUAUUUUAAAGAGCUAUACUUUGGUUCUGUGUACUACAGAUCUGGAAGUGCUCAUGUGUUGGGUUUAUAUAUGAUUUAUGAUUAUUUUCUAAGUAAACUGGUACACCUAAAAUAGGCAUAAUAAUUUAACCCUGCAAUCACAAAUAUUAAUCAAUUGUAGUAUAGGAAAGAAGGGGUCUUCCGCAGAGAGAUUGCAUUUGUGUUUGGAGUGGAAGUUGAGCAGCGAAGUCUUCACAGAGGUAUAUAUUGGGGAGUAGCUGCACCACUAUAUGCCAUUGCAAGAACGGACAGUAAGCACUGAUGCUGACAAAUUGUCUCAAGUUUCUGUUUCAAACGCCUUUAAGCGUCGUUUGUAUGGAUCUGGAACUAGAUGUGUUCUGUGAUCAAGUGAAAUACUGCUAAAUUGCAAUUUUCGAUGUACAAAGGAACCAAUUGUUUUUAAUUCAAGGAAUAAAAAAAAAAAAGUCUGGAAUGACAUUU